rnacentral:rRNA from 1 species
AUGAACGCUGGCGGCGUGCCUAAUACAUGCAAGUCGAGCGAACAGACGAGGAGCUUGCUCCUCUGACGUUAGCGGCGGACGGGUGAGUAACACGUGGAUAACCUACCUAUAAGACUGGGAUAACUUCGGGAAACCGGAGCUAAUACCGGAUAAUAUAUUGAACCGCAUGGUUCAAUAGUGAAAGACGGUUUUGCUGUCACUUAUAGAUGGAUCCGCGCCGCAUUAGCUAGUUGGUAAGGUAACGGCUUACCAAGGCAACGAUGCGUAGCCGACCUGAGAGGGUGAUCGGCCACACUGGAACUGAGACACGGUCCAGACUCCUACGGGAGGCAGCAGUAGGGAAUCUUCCGCAAUGGGCGAAAGCUUGACGGAGCAACGCCGCGUGAGUGAUGAAGGCCUUCGGAUCGUAAAACUCUGUUAUUAGGGAAGAACAAAUGUGUAAGUAACUAUGCACGUCUUGACGGUACCUAAUCAGAAAGCCACGGCUAACUACGUG